CCGCCGGCUGCCGGGGUGUCGCCGAGGAGAGCCACGGGAAAGGGGGGCUCUUCUCUCAUUGACUGUAGCCAAGUGGAACUUAAGUUACUUCGAGAUGGCUGCCUAGUGUCUAGAGUGGAUUUGUCAGAGCGGGACACCAGACUUUCUCUCCGCUUAGGGAAGAUCAGCUACCUAGCGAGAAGUAUUGUGAAGCUAAUGAAAUUUUGGGCAUACUGCUUGUUUGAAAUGGGACAGAGUCUGACCUCCAGAAGUGUGGUAUGUGGAGUUGGGAAGGACGAAGGUGGAAGUACAAGAAUGUUCUCAUAGCAAUCCUUGCAGAAGAUAAGAAACACAAAAGGAUAUUUUCUUACAGACUUUUUCUGUAGCAAAUAUGAUGCUUGAGACAGGACUCUGAUGCUUGUGUUGUUCUGGUAGGCUCAGGAAUGUGUGAAGCACCACAUGGAAAUACACAGAAGAGAGACUGUAUCUUAAGCGCUUUAUAUUCUGGAAAGAGAGAUGCGUGAGUAGUGAGGAAAAGACGAAUAACUCACUGGCCGUGCAACCCCUGAAGGCAGUAGUCCUCUAUUUGUCUGUAAGACAGGACAUUGCAAGCUGCAUUGGCAGAGCCUUUUUCUGCCAUCUUACUGUAUAGGCACAGAUGUGGUCUUUUCUUUUGAAGGACCUUCCUAAGUCAUUCAGUCUGUAGUCCCUGUAUUGUCAACAAACAAAUGGGGUGGUUAACACUACCUGUGUUAAUAGAAAGCUGGAAAUCAAACCUGAGCUCUUUUUAGCACUGGUGUCUUCAUAACUUGAAGUCAGCAAAGUGUCAGUACAAGGGUUUGCAGCUCUAGCAGUGCUCCUCCUGUGGGCGGUGUUGCCUUCGUGUGCUCUUGUUUUGCUUCACUUCAGGUGUGCAAACAAAAGCUGUUGUCCAAAAACCUUUUCGUUUUUGCAGUGUUUGACUCUUUCUUGAUCUUUGUCUGCUUCUCGAAAUAGCUGUCAUGUUGACCCUUACUGCACAUCCUGGCCAGUAAGAGGUGCUUCCCCUUUCCUCCCUGCAGCUGCAUUCUUUGUGCAGAGCUAAGAAGUGCUGUGUUACAUUGCUGUUGCUUUCAGGUGUGUCUCACCCAG
rnacentral:lncRNA from 1 species